GACGAACGCUGGCGGCGUGCUUAACACAUGCAAGUCGAACGGAAAGGCCCUGCUUUUGUGGGGUGCUCGAGUGGCGAACGGGUGAGUAACACGUGAGUAACCUGCCCUUGACUUUGGGAUAACCUCAGGAAACUGGGGCUAAUACCGGAUAGGAGCUCCUGCUGCAUGGUGGGGGUUGGAAAGUUUCGGCGGUUGGGGAUGGACUCGCGGCUUAUCAGCAUGUUGGUGGGGUAGUGGCUUACCAAGGCUUUGACGGGUAGCCGGCCUGAGAGGGUGACCGGCCACAUUGGGACUGAGAUACGGCCCAGACUCCUACGGGAGGCAGCAGUGGGGAAUAUUGCACAAUGGGCGGAAGCCUGAUGCAGCAACGCCGCGUGCGGGAUGACGGCCUUCGGGUUGUAAACCGCUUUCGCCUGUGACGAAGCGUGAGUGACGGUAAUGGGUAAAGAAGCACCGGCUAACUACGUG
rnacentral:rRNA from 1 species